UAAUCCAGGAACUCCAUAACUGUCCAUCAGUCUAGUACAGACUUGAUUGGAGCUCACUAUGAUCAAUGAUGGGCUACCAGCCAUCUAUGCCAUCCUCCCUGCCCCAAGGAGCUGCCAGUGCUGGGCAAGGCAGAUGCAUGCCUGUGAUUUAAGGCCAAACAUGGAAAUACAUAUUUGGGCACAUAGAGAAGGAUGAAGUUUCUUCUCAUCAGGAGAUCGAUGAAGACCUCCUGCAGGAGUCCACAUCUGGAUAAAGUGUUGAAGGAGAAGUUUGAUCUUACAAGCCAGGACUGUGCCUAAUUCCUAGGAGGUGUCCGUGCCUAAUUCUAAUUAGGAAUUAGGAAUUCCUAAUUCCACAAAUGUUUGCUGGCAGUCUGAAAGAGGACAGUGGCAUUCUGGGCAGAGAGAAAGAGCAAGAAACAGGAGAGCAGAGAGGGCAACGCUCAUUUAGGGUUGAGUGAGUCGUGUUUUCAACCUGAAGCUGAAGCCUGAGGUGUCUGAGCCAAUAGUUGGGGACAAAUCUGGUUGGUUGGUUGGAGGCUGAGUGUGAAAGUCCUUGAAUUAAGCUGAGGAUUUUAGAUUUCAAUCAGAAGCCAAAGGAACUCCCUGAACGCGUGGGAGCAGGGACAGGACAUGCUCUGAGCUGUGCUUCAGGAAGGCCAGGCUGACAUUGAUUUAAAUCUUGCAAUCACCACUGGGAAGUGAGCUGUAUCAUCUUGAGAAAUCAGACCACAGAGACGAGCCUGCAGCUGGCAGGCUGGGUCAUCCUUAAUCGCUUAACCCUUCAUAUCAAAGGAUAGGUUGUAGCAGCAGAUUCCUUCUUUAGAAUUUGCUAUGGCAGGAUUUGUCAAGGAAAAGCUGGAAGUUAAAAUGAAACAGUGUGUAUAGCAAAAACCUUGCCUUGUAAAUUGACUUUUGUGCCUAUACAUGCGACUGGUUUUAUGUAACUCUGUCCUUGUGGGUAUGUGUUUGUGUGAGUACAAGUGUGACUGAUGUGUGUGUACAUGUGCUUUUGUGUGAGGAU
rnacentral:lncRNA from 10 species